UCAUAUACCCAGCCACAACCACGAUAACAUCAUGUUAUUUAAUGACACACAACCAUUCCACUCAGAAGCUGUCCACACACAGUACACUAUCCGGAGAAAAAAAGUAUGCGAGAAUAUCUAAAUUAAACCUACAUAUAAGGCAAGAAAUUCAAAAGGUGCAAACAUAAUUGCUGAUCGAAGCCAGGGAGAAAGACAACCCAAUUUAAUGAAGGAGAAGAUGAGAUGGACUGCGAAGAGAGAGUCGCCGGAACGGGACCAACAGAGAUGAAGUCCAUGGCAAGAUGAGUGAAAAUAUGAAGUCGCAAUAGAUAAGGCUUAGGUUUUUUUAUUGGGAAAGUAGAGGUUAGAGGGUGAGAGGAUGGUUUGGAUAGAUGACUAGGCAAAAGAUAUAGAAGUGCAUAUAUAAUGAUAAUAAUACAUAAUUACAUAUAUAAAUGAAUAAAUAAAUGAUAUAAUAUUAAUAGGAGUGAUACGGUACGGUAUACCAUUGGUAAUGGUUUUGAAUACCAUUACUGUACUGAAAAUGUAUGGUACAGUACAAAUAGCGUACCAUUACCACCAAAUUUUUUGGCACAACUUUGGUAUGAUAAUUUGGCAAAAAAAUUCACCCCUACGCAUGCACAGCGCGGACAAAUAAGUAAUUCUAUUGUGCCAAGGACGGAAAACAACGGAGAACAGAGAAGCAAAUAAGGGCAUUACCGCCAUUUCACUGUUCACAAACAGUGAAAAACAGUGCUAGGAAAAACCCAAUUUUAAUAUAUGUAUAAUUUUCCAUUAGAAAAUGUUAUCUUUUUCUUGUCGAAUGAAUAUAAGUAUUACAAAUAUUCACUGUCGACAACGGAGAUGGCUACCACAUAAGA
rnacentral:lncRNA from 1 species